AUCUACAGCCAAACCACCCUGAACAUGCCCAAUCUCGUCUGAUCUCGGAAGCUAAGCAGGGUCGAGCCUGGUUAGUACUUGAAUGGGAGGAUUUGCUGUAUCAU
rnacentral:rRNA from 1 species